rnacentral:tRNA from 1 species
AAAAAGGUAAGCUAAAUAUAAGCUAAUGGGUUCAUACCCCAUAUAUAGGACUUACCUCCUUUUUA